rnacentral:tRNA from 1 species
GUUCUGCAUGGCAGAGUGGUUUGUGUGUUGGACUGUGACUCUGGAGACCAAGGUUUGAUUCCCAGUUCAACCA